rnacentral:lncRNA from 1 species
ACUAAAACUACUUGUUCAGUUUGACGGUGAAUUGAAUAUUUAGAAAGCGAUACUUUAUAGUAAAACAUUAAAAAUACGGAAUAUAAACGGAAACACCUACCUAUCUCAAACGACCAGUGCUGAAAUACAUCAACAUUCGACAAGGGCCACAAGGCGAAAAACUCAACGAUAUCUGCCAAAUCAGUUACAACCAGCAACUACAGUGUCCCAUAAACGUUGAAAAAACACAAACAUUUCUCGUAGUCUUGUAUUUCGGUUAAAUUUUCAUCAAAUAUUUGCAAAAAUUGCAACAGGAAAGCACACGUGCGCUGUAUUUUGACAUUUUAUAAAAUUUCAAAAGUGCGCGGGCGGAGAAUCCGCCUUAGGCUAGCGGUUUGCUAAUCCUGACUUCUCAGUACUUUAUCUUGGGACCGUCAUUUUUUUAGUAUUUACCGUCGUUUGCGUCCACGAAUGAACAAUCGCAGAUAAAAAACAUUGUCAUUUUUAUAACGUGAAACUUUAAUGUUUGAAACAAGUAUUGUUGUGCGCGGAUUGUUGUUAAUUUAACAUUUAUCCCGCGUCAAAGGCCUCCUUUUGUUUGCUGCCAAAACCAUAGAAGUAUUUUUCUACACAAGUUUUCUUUUGCAAUCGUACAAACGAACAAAUUUUGCAUGCAAAUUUUGUAUACUUUUUUAUUAGCAUGCGGAAAUUGCCACCAUUUUUUGCCCAAAAUGUGGUAACAAUUUCCGCACGCAAAUACAAAAGUGUAGAAAAUUUGCGAACUUUGCAAGACUAUAUUUUCCGCAUUUUACAACAUUUCGAAACCAGAGUUCGUAAUUUUACUAAUUUUAGUACGCUCACGUUCUAGCUGUGUGGAAAGUCUAAUUGUGACGUUGCGAUAUGGCGAAUUAACAUGCACGUCUCCCUAUGAAUGUAAAACGCGCCGUUUGUUAAAUUUCUUUAUGACCACCAGAAUUGUCACUUUAA